rnacentral:rRNA from 1 species
UGGGGAAUUUUGGACAAUGGGCGCAAGCCUGAUCCAGCAAUGCCGCGUGCAGGAUGAAGGCCUUCGGGUUGUAAACUGCUUUUGUACGGAGCGAAAAGGUCUGCCCUAAUACGGUGGGCUCAUGACGGUACCGUAAGAAUAAGCACCGGCUAACUACGUGCCAGCAGCCGCGGUAAUACGUAGGGUGCGAGCGUUAAUCGGAAUUACUGGGCGUAAAGCGUGCGCAGGCGGUUAUAUAAGACAGAUGUGAAAUCCCCGGGCUCAACCUGGGACCUGCAUUAGUGACUGUAUAGCUAGAGUACGGUAGAGGGGGAUGGAAUUCCGCGUGUAGCAGUGAAAUGCGUAGAUAUGCGGAGGAACACCGAUGGCGAAGGCAAUCCCCUGGACCUGUACUGACGCUCAUGCACGAAAGCGUGGGGAUCAAACA